rnacentral:rRNA from 1 species
GCGUAUCAGCCUUUUGGGUGUGAUUAUGUGGAGCGUGAGGAGUUAAACACCCUCAUCUUUGCAUAUUCGUGCACUUUGGGUGUACUUGCUCGUGUGGUAGGUUAACAUCAAUUUUGAUCGUCAUAAAAUGGCUAGAGGAAUGUAGCUUCGAUCUCGUAUUGAAGUGUUAUAGCCUUUGGUAGAUGUGAUGAUUAGGAUUGAGGAUUGCAACGGAUACCCUUCGGGGCUACCUGCCUGAUCUCUGAAAGUUGCUCUGGUGCUGAAAGCUUGCUUAUGGUAUCAAAGUUGACGUUCAAUAGGUUAGAACGGGAUAAAUUCGUUAAGGAUGUUGACGUAA